GGGGGAAGGUAGCUUGCUACAUUACCUAGCGGCGGACGGGUGAGUAAUGCUUAGGAAUCUGCCUAUUAGUGGGGGACAACAUCUCGAAAGGGAUGCUAAUACCGCAUACGUCCUACGGGAGAAAGCAGGGGACCUUCGGGCCUUGCGCUAAUAGAUGAGCCUAAGUCGGAUUAGCUAGUUGGUGGGGUAGAGGCCUACCAAGGCGACGAUCUGUAGCGGGUCUGAGAGGAUGAUCCGCCACACUGGGACUGAGACACGGCCCAGACUCCUACGGGAGGCAGCAGUGGGGAAUAUUGGACAAUGGGGGGAACCCUGAUCCAGCCAUGCCGCGUGUGUGAAGAAGGCCUUUUGGUUGUAAAGCACUUUAAGCGAGGAGGAGGCUGCCGAGAUUAAUACUCUUGGAUAGUGGACGUUACUCGCAGAAUAAGCACCGGCUAACUCUGUGCCAGCAGCCGCGGUAAUACAGAGGGUGCAAGCGUUAAUCGGAUUUACUGGGCGUAAAGCGCGCGUAGGUGGCCAAUUAAGUCAAAUGUGAAAUCCCCGAGCUUAACUUGGGAAUUGCAUUCGAUACUGGUUGGCUAGAGUAUGGGAGAGGAUGGUAGAAUUCCAGGUGUAGCGGUGAAAUGCGUAGAGAUCUGGAGGAAUACCGAUGGCGAAGGCAGCCAUCUAGCCUAAUACUGACACUGAGGUGCGAAAGCAUGGGGAGCAAACAGGAUUAGAUACCCUGGUAGUCCAUGCCGUAAACGAUGUCUACUAGCCGUUGGGGCCUCUGAGGCUUUAGUGGCGCAGCUAACGCGAUAAGUAGACCGCCUGGGGAGUACGGUCGCAAGACUAAGACUCAAAUGAAUUGACCGGGGA
rnacentral:rRNA from 1 species